rnacentral:rRNA from 1 species
GAUGAACGCUAGCUACAGGCUUAACACAUGCAAGUCGCGGGGCAGCAUGGGGGUUGCUUGCAACCCCUGAUGGCGACCGGCGCACGGGUGAGUAACGCGUAUCCAACCUGCCCUUCACCACGGGAUAACCCGGCGAAACUCGUACUAAUAACGUAUGUUGUCCAUUGACGGCGUCCGGGUUGGACGAAACGCUUGGCGGUGGAAGGGUGGGGUUGCGUCCGAUUAGCUUGGCGGCGGGGUAACGGCCCACCGUGGCUACGAUCGGUAGGGGGUCGGAGAGGAGGGUCCCCCAGAGGGGAACUGAGACACGGUCCAGAGUCCUACGGGAGGCAGCAGUGAGGAAGAUUGGUCAAUGGGCGUAAGCCUGAACCAGCCAAGUAGCGUGCAGGAUGACGGCGCUAGGGGUUGUAAACUGCUUUUAUGCGGGGAUAAAGUGGCCCACGGGUGGGCUUUUGCAGGUACCGGAUGAAUAAGGACCGGCUAAUUCCGUG